GGGGGUGUAGCUCAGUUGGGAGAGCGACGGCCUUGCACGCCGUAGGUCGCAGGUUCAACUCCUGUCACCUCCACCA
rnacentral:tRNA from 1 species